UCUCCGUAGGUGAACCUGCGGAGGGAUCAUUACAAGUGACCCCGGUCUAACCACCGGGAUGUUCAUAACCCUUUGUUGUCCGACUCUGUUGCCUCCGGGGCGACCCUGCCUUCGGGCGGGGGCUCCGGGUGGACACUUCAAACUCUUGCGUAACUUUGCAGUCUGAGUAAAUUUAAUUAAUAAAUUAAAACUUUUAACAACGGAUCUCUUGGUUCUG
rnacentral:misc_RNA from 1 species